UACAGAGGUCUCAAGCGUUGUUCGGAUUCAUUGGGCGUAAAGGGUGAGUAGGUGGCGCCGUAAGUCAGGUGUGAAAUUUCGGAGCUUAACUCCGAAACUGCGUUUGAUACUGCGGUGCUUGAGGACUGGAGAGGAGACUGGAAUUCACGGUGUAGCAGUGAAAUGCGUAGAUAUCGUGAGGAAGACCAGUGGCGAAGGCGGGUCUCUGGACAGUUCCUGACACUGAGGAGCGAAAGCCAGGGGAGCAAACGGG
rnacentral:rRNA from 1 species